rnacentral:lncRNA from 1 species
UUCUGAAAGUAGCUAUGCCCGGUGGCUGGGUGGCAGCUGCUGCUGCCAUAACUGGUGAAGUAAAAGUGAUCUCUUUGUUUACUGCAAGGGUGAAUCAUCAGGUUUGCAAUCACAUCUUCGAAAUUGUUCAAGAUCAAUUACUGAUUUAAUUGAAAUCAAAGGUUUGAUGUUGGUUUGGUUAACUUCUCCGUGUUUUCUUUGUAUUAAUAAAUUAUAUAAUCUAAUUUUAGCCUCAAAAUCUUGUGCAUUCACUACGAGAUAUGGGUGAUGAAAGACUAUAUAGUACAAUCAUAAUGACAUAUGGGUGAUGAAAGAUUAUACACAAUAAAAUUAUUGAUUGUUACUUAAGUAGAGAUGGGACGAUGAUAUGGGUGAUGAAAGAUUAAAAAGUUUAGGAUGUCGCAAAUUUGUUAUGUAGUUCAGCGAAAAUAAUAUGUAUUUUUUCUACAAAUUAUGUAUUGGAAUUGCAUCAAAAUAAGCAUUGAGUAGUUUUCGCCAUUAUUAAUGUAUAAGUUUCUACUUUUCUUGAUGGUUUGAUGCUAGUUGUAAAAUUUAUUUAUUUUUGUUAAAUUGGUGGUGAAAUGGAGAAGUUAAUCUACUAAUAUUGCCAGAAAGAAGUUUUGUCAAUGGAAACUAGUAAUGUAUGCAAAUUUUGUUCAUGAUAUGAGCAUGCUUUGUCUUGUUUCAUUACCUAAGCAGCAGCGUCCUCCAUAAUAUUUAAGAUUAAAAUUUGUUUUUCUGAUAAGAUUAUUUGUGUUAGAUAAGUGCAGCUGACAUGUAUAUUCAUUUCUUUGUGAAAUCAGAACUCACAUUUAGAUUCAAAGAUAAUAAGUGGAGGAUCUAGCAAUAGCAAUUGAACUCCUAUUAUAAUUGUGGUAGAUCAAGUCGGAAAAUGCAGAUUCCAAACUUGCUUCUUUAAAUUUAAAAACAUUGUAUGCUGCAAAAUAUUUAUGGUCGAUGGUCAAAUACCAAGCCACUUUUCUGGAUUUUCUGAGGGUUUUUUUUGCUUGUAAUCUAUAU